UACGUAGGGUGCAAGCGUUAAUCGGAAUUACUGGGCGUAAAGCGUGCGCAGGCGGUUAUGUAAGACAGUUGUGAAAUCCCCGGGCUCAACCUGGGAACUGCAUCUGUGACUGCAUAGCUAGAGUACGGUAGAGGGGGAUGGAAUUCCGCGUGUAGCAGUGAAAUGCGUAGAUAUGCGGAGGAACACCGAUGGCGAAGGCAAUCCCCUGGACCUGUACUGACGCUGAGGCGCGAAAGCUAGGGGAGCAAACGGG
rnacentral:rRNA from 1 species